rnacentral:rRNA from 1 species
CGAGGAGUUUUUGUAUUCGUACGAAGACUCCUAGUGGCGAACGGGUGAGUAACGCGUUGGUGACCUGCCCCGAAGAAAGGGACAACUCCGGGAAACUGGAGCUAAUACCUUAUGUGAUCUCAGAGGUUAGAGUCUUUGAGAUUAAAGGACCUCGGUCCACUUCGGGAGGGGCCUGCGUCCCAUCAGCUAGUUGGUAGGGUAAUGGCCUACCAAGGCAAAGACGGGUAGGGGGCCUGAGAGGGUGGCCCCCCACACUGGCACUGAAACACGGGCCAGACACCUACGGGUGGCAGCAGUAGGGAAUAUUGCCCAAUGGACGAAAGUCUGAGGCAGCAACGCCGCGUGCACGAUGAAGGCCUUCGGGUUGUAAAGUGCUUUUCUGGAGGAAGAGAAAGGACUGUACUCCAGGAAUAAGGAUCGGCUAACUACGUGCCAGCAGCCGCGGUAACACGUAGGAUCCGAGCGUUAUCCGAAUUUACUGGGCGUAAAGCGCGUGUAGGCGGUUUAGUAAGUUGGAUGUGAAAGCUCCCGGCUCAACUGGGAGAGGCCGUUCAAAACUACUAAACUAGAGGACGGUAGAGGGAGGUGGAAUUCCCGGUGUAGUAGUGAAAUGCGUAGAU